CCCAGCCCCAGCCCCGGCUCCGGCUCCGACCACGACCACCAGCACUUCGGACACUACGCCAACUACGAGCAGACUCAGCACCACCUGCGCGAGGAACGCCUAAGGGGCGCCGCUCUGGUCAGUCGACUGGAGGAAAAGUUCUGGGACGAGGCCAGGUGUGGGGCGGUAGCAUCCGGACACACGUUUGUCGGCCCGCCGAGGGUCUGUUUUGUCCAAGCGCCACCGAGGCGGCAGCACCAGGUGGGCCACUCGCAGCGCGGCCGGCGCGCCGAGCCGAGCGCCGCCGAAUGGCCAAUCAGCGACUACUACGAGUACGAGUCGGUGCGGGCGGUCCCGCGUG